rnacentral:sRNA from 1 species
GUGUACGAGUGGUACAUGCCGAUUCCGAGCACCGGCCACGCCCGCCUGACGGCUGCGCAGUAGUUUUGUUUGCC